UACGGAGGGUGCGAGCGUUGUCCGGAAUCAUUGGGCGUAAAGGGCGCGUAGGUGGCCUGCUAAGCGUGCGGUGAAAGUCGGGGGCUCAACCCCCGAUCGCGUGCGAACUGGGAGCUUGAGCACUGUAGAGGCAGGCGGAAUUCCACGUGUAGCGGUGAAAUGCGUAGAGAUGUGGAGGAACACCUGUGGCGAAGGCGCCUUGCUGGCCGAAUUUCUGACGCUGAGGCGCGAAAGAGCGUGGGGGGAGCAAACAGG
rnacentral:rRNA from 1 species